AGGAGGUCACAGAGGUCACAGGAAAGGCCAGUGAUGAUGGGGGGUUCUGGAAACCAAGGCAGGGGUCCCUCAGUCAUAGGUCACUGGGGGUGGCUUUUUGUUCAAGUACAGGCUUCUGCCUGUCAGGGGCCAUGUGUAGAAGGCUAACUAGGUUGUGCUAAAAUCCCUCAGGUGCUACUGUCAGAAACCUGCUAAUUAGUUAAAUGACACUUCAGCACCACCCUUUAUGGCCAGUAAGUGUGAACGGCCCCACUGCUUCCAGUGAUCUGGGGCAGCACCCAGGGAUCUAGGGCAAAACACGGGGCAGGAGCUGGCAGUAUGGGUGGCCACAGACCAGGGUGUGGGAGGAGCUGUUCCUGUCCCUUCCUGUCAGCUUCAUGGUCACUUGGCAGGCAUCUGGCCAUCCUACAUGCUUUGUGCCCCCUGCCUGCUGUAGGCCACCGUCCCCCUCUGCACAAUCUGCCUUGCACUGCAAUUGAAGGGCAGCUACUGAUGGAUCCGCUAGGCAAGGCUGAGCCCGAUGCAGACCUUUUCCCCGUCCAGGUGCUCCCUGCCCGCCAGAGCGUCUGUCCUGACAAGGAAUGCCCACAACAGCCCCGGGGAGUCCAAAGGCCCUGAGUGUCCUCUCACAGUGACCCUGCCCCCCAGUGACCUCAACCCCAAGCUUCCUCAGUGACCCUGAGCAUCUACUGGGACACUGACCUCCUACAACAACCUCCACCUCAAGCGUCUGCAGCGACCCCAAGCAUCCUUGGCAACCCCAAGUGUCCAUAGCAACCCCAAGCAUCCACAGUGACAGAGCUUCUUCAGUGCUUCUGAGGGUCCAUCUCCACAGUGACGGUUACAAUCCUCGGCAUCUGUGCCACACCCUCAUGUCCCUGAGCCCUCGCUGCCCUCUGCUCUCAGCAGACUGGGCUGACAGAUGCUUGGGUCACCCCAGAAUCUGCCACUCUUAGCAGAUACCAGAAUGGGGUACCAAGACCCAGCUGCAAACUGAAGCCCUUCAUAAGGCCUCUUGUCUGCAGCAAGAACUUUUGUAACUCACUACCUGAAGACCUUCCUGGUCAGGGGUAGAACUUGGGUAAGAAAUUUCUAGAAUGAAUCCAUUGCCUCCCACCCUGCUUUGUGGCUGGCCAGUGAAAACAGGAAGUACACAAGACAGCUGGAGCUCCGGGAGGCACAAGACCCAUGGUAAGUAAAGGCCAUGGGACACUGAGGAAAGUCAAGGUCACUGAAGUCAUUGUGCUCCAGGAAGUGCCAGCAUGAAGCCAUCAAAACACGAGAAUGAUACAGAACCAGGAGAGCCACCAAGCGACAGUCAGACACUCGUCACCUGGAGCUCGAGGCAGCCUGGACACUCUGUCCUCAGGGCUCAUCUUCUCCCUUGGUGGUAAGCCCCCUUAAGCUGGGUCUCUGUCAGAAGCCAAAGACACAUGUGCUGAGAGACAUGCCUCUCAUCAGGUGAGGGACCUGAGGAGGAGAGAGAGCCUUGACAUACAGGGGUGACUUUCUACAGAGGAGAAAUACCAGGGGGAUGGCAGCAGAGGCCUUCAUGUGAGACUAGGCUUAGCCAGGCAGAUCCUGGGCAUGUCUCCAAUCCCAGUGGGAUCUGGGUGAUUGUACAGCCUGAAACAGGACUGAGCCCCUGGCAGGCCCCGGGUCCCAAACCAGACACCUCGUUUAUCCCAUUUGGUCCAAUUUAAUAUUCUGAGGUAGCAGCUUGCUUGCUCCUACUCUGGAGCUGUGAGGGACACAGUGUAGCCCUUGUAACCCUUAGAGUUAUGCUCAGUAUGCCUCCAUGGCACAUAAUACAUAUCAAUGUGUGUGACCCAUGUGUACUUAUAUGCAUGCCAUGUGUUUAUACAUGUGUGGAUGUUUACACAUGUGUGUCAAGCACAUUCACACACACUGAUGUGCACAUACACAGUAAGGUGCAUGUACACUCGUGAAUAGCACUACACAGGUCUGAACACAGUUGUGGAUGUGCAUGCAUGAGCCCACAUUUACAUGUGGUCCACACACGCAGGGUACAUACGAAGUCACGUGACAGCACACCUUUCUUCUUCUCCUCUCCAAAUUCAUCAGGGACUGACACCCCGCCAGGGCAAGGGCAUGAAAGGAACAGGAGCCCAGGCAGAUGGAGAGAGACAGGCUGAUACGAAGCCAAGGCCCGCAGCAGAGGUCUGGAAUCAGCUUUCUCCCACCUCCCUCUCAGGCUCUAGGAAGACCGGAGUUCACUGGGGGUAGGUGAAGCUCCAGUGCCAACCGGGACCAGGGAACACCAGCACCGAAGUCUUCAUUUCUGUUGCCCUCAAGCACCAGAACCAGACCGCUGGCCUUGGCAUUGUCUCCCCUCCUCCAUGUCUCCCUCUGGGCCUCCAUGAGCACCAUCAGCCACCAUACCCAUCCUCAGCCUUGUCCUGGCGUGGGUGUGAGCUGAGCCUCCUGCAGCUGGCCUCAAAGCUCCUGGGGCCUGUGAUGACCCUGUCUAGGUGGGGCUUGACCUCCCAGCUCCAGGGCUGCAGGUGGGCAGGUAGUCCCUACCCCAGGCUGUAAAGGCUGUCUCAGCCACAGGAAGCUGCCCCUUGCUAAUUCUCUAAAUAAACAGUAAUGGGAGCCGCUCA